rnacentral:rRNA from 1 species
UAGGGAAUAUUAGAAAUGGACGAAAGUCUGAUCUAGCAACACCGCGUGUGCGAAGAAGGCCUUCGGGUUGUAAAGCACUUUUUGGAAGGAUUAGGAAGGAAUGUACUUCCAGAAUAAGUCUCGGCUAACUACGUGCCAGCAGCAGCGGUAACACGUAGGAGGCAAACGUUAUCCGGAUUUACUGGGCGUAAAGCGCGUGUAGGUGGUUCUGUAAGUAGGGCGUGAAAGCUCCUGGCUCAACGGGGAGAGGCCGUUCUAAACUGCAGAGCUAGAGGAUGGUAGAGGGAGGUGGAAUUCCGGGUGUAGCGGUGGAAUGCGCAGAUAUCCGGAGGAACACCAGUGGCGAAAGCGGCCUCCUGGACCAUUCCCGACACUCAGACGCGAAAGCUAGGGUAGCAAACG